UUCCGGUUGAUCCCGCCGGACCUGACUGCUAUCGGAUUGAUACUAAGCCAUGCGAGUCAUUGUAGUAAUACAAGGCAGACGGCUCAGUAACGCGUAGUCAACCCACCCUGUGGACGGGGAUAACCUCGGGAAACUGAGAAUAAUACCCGAUAGAACAUUAUGCCUGGAAUGGUUUAUGUUUCAAAUAAUUUAUUGCCGUAGGAUGGGACUGCGUCCUAUCAGUUUGUUGGUGAGGUAAUGGCCCACCAAGACUAUUACAGGUACGGGCUCUGAGAGGAGUAGCCCGGAGAUGGGUACUGAGACACGGACCCAGGCCCUAUGGGGCGCAGCAGGCGAGAAAACUUUGCAAUGUGCGAAAGCACGACAAGGUUAAUCCGAGUGGUUUCUGCUAAAGGAACCUUUUGUCAGUCCUAGAAACACUGAUGAAUAAGGGGUGGGCAAGUUCUGGUGUCAGCCGCCGCGGUAAAACCAGCACCUCAAGUGGUCAGGAUGAUUAUUGGGCCUAAAGCAUCCGUAGCCUGCUUUGUAAGUUUUCGGUUAAAUCCAUACGCUCAACGUAUGGGCUGCCGGGAAUACUGCAAAGCUAGGGAGUGGGAGAGGUAGACGGUACUCGGUAGGAAGGGGUAAAAUCCUUUGAUCUAUUGAUGACCACCUGUGGCGAAGGCGGUCUACCAGAACACGUCCGACGGUGAGGGAUGAAAGCUGGGGGAGCAAACCGGAUUAGAUACCCGGGUAGUCCCAGCUGUAAACUAUGCAAACUCAGUGAUGCAUUGGCUUGAUGCCAAUGCAGUGCUGCAGGGAAGCCGUUAAGUUUGCCGCCUGGGAAGUACGUACGCAAGUAUGAAACUUAAAGGAAUUGGCGGGGGAGCACCACAAGGGGUGAAGCCUGCGGUUCAAUUGGAGUCAACGCCGGA
rnacentral:rRNA from 1 species